rnacentral:rRNA from 1 species
CCUCAAAGAGGGGGACAACAGUUGGAAACGACUGCUAAUACCGCAUAAGCCCACGACCCGGCAUCGGGUUGAGGGAAAAGGAGCAAUCCGCUUUGAGAUGGCCUCGCGUCCGAUUAGCUAGUUGGUGAGGUAACGGCCCACCAAGGCGACGAUCGGUAGCCGGACUGAGAGGUUGAACGGCCACAUUGGGACUGAGACACGGCCCAGACUCCUACGGGAGGCAGCAGUGGGGAAUAUUGCACAAUGGGGGAAACCCUGAUGCAGCGACGCCGCGUGGAGGAAGAAGGUCUUCGGAUUGUAAACUCCUGUUGUUGAGGAAGAUAAUGACGGUACUCAACAAGGAAGUGACGGCUAACUACGUGCCAGCAGCCGCGGUAAAACGUAGGUCACAAGCGUUGUCCGGAAUUACUGGGUGUAAAGGGAGCGCAGGCGGGAAGACGAGUUGGAAGUGAAAUCCAUGGGCUCAACCCAUGAACUGCUUUCAAAACUGUUUUUCUUGAGUAGUGCAGAGGUAGGCGGAAUUCCCGGUGUAGCGGUGGAAUGCGUAGAUAUCGGGAGGAACACCAGUGGCGAAGGCGGCCUACUGGGCACCAACUGACGCUGAGGCUCGAAAGUGUGGGUAGCAAACAGGAUUAGAUACCCUGGUAGUCCACACCGUAAACGAUGAUUACUAGGUGUUGGAGGAUUGACCCCUUCAGUG